rnacentral:rRNA from 1 species
CCCUUAGAUGUUCUGGGCCGAACGCGCGCUACACUGAUGCAUUCAACGAGUCUAAAACCUGCUCUGAUAGGGGUGGGUAAUCUUUUGAAUGUGCAUCGUGAUUGGGAUAGAUGAUUGCAAUUUUUCAUCUUCAACGAGGAAUGCCUAGUAAACGCAAGUCAUCAGCUUGCAUUGAUUACGUCCCUGCCCUUUGUACACACCGCCCGUCGCUCCUACCGAUUGAAUGAUCCGAUGAAUAUCAUGGAUUGAGGAUGCAAGUAGGUUCGCCUAUCUUCAUCUUCGAGAAGUGAAGUAAAUCUUAUCAUUUAGAGGAAGGAGAAGUCGUAACA